UCCGUAGGUGAACCUGCGGAAGGAUCAUUACUGUGAUUUAGUACUACACUGCGUGAGCGGAACGAAAACAAMAACACCUAAAAUGUGGAAUAUAGCAUAUAGUCGACAAGAGAAAUCUACGAAAAACAAACAAAACUUUCAACAACGGAUCUCUUGGUUCUCGCAUCGAUGAAGAGCGCAGCGAAAUGCGAUACCUAGUGUGAAUUGCAGCCAUCGUGAAUCAUCGAGUUCUUGAACGCACAUUGCGCCCCUCGGCAUUCCGGGGGGCAUGCCUGUUUGAGCGUCGUUUCCAUCUUGCGCGUGCGCAGAGUUGGGGGAGCGGAGCGGACGACGUGUAAAGAGCGUCGGAGCUGCGACUCGCCUGAAAGGGAGCGAAGCUGGCCGAGCGAACUAGACUUUUUUUCAGGGACGCUUGGCGGCCGAGAGCGAGUGUUGCGAGACAACAAAAAGCUCGACCUCAAAUCAGGUAGGAAUACCCGCUGAACUUAAGCAUAUCAAUAAGCGGAGGA
rnacentral:rRNA from 1 species